UCUAGAACUCGAGAUAUGGGCUGAACAUUGAACAAUAUCUAGGCUACAGGACAGAUUCCAACUUCUCCGUUGUUGCUACCGUUUGAACUCGAAAAUAUCACUUUUAAAUCUUGGACUUUUCAUGAAAGUUUUAGGUCUAUUAUGUCUUAGCUUUCCAUA
rnacentral:pre_miRNA from 1 species